GCAUCGUUGCAACCUAGUGCUUCAAGAUUGCUGGCUGGAUCCUACGCCAUCGUACUUCCUUCUAGAAGAUUUCCCAGAGCGCAUCGAUAUAUAUUGAAAAGACUUGCUUGUUUAUCUUCUUUUGAAUUUGAUUUACUAUUGCCUCCUAGAAGUAGUUACCAUCGACAUGAUACACCCUCAAUUUUCAUGGCUCAAAAUUGAUAGAUGUGCGCUACACAUUCAAAUUGACGAUGUUGAGAGCUUGUGACAUAGUUCACGAUGAUCAAGCUGAUCGAGCUGAC
rnacentral:lncRNA from 1 species